rnacentral:rRNA from 2 species
UGGGGAAUAUUGCACAAUGGGGGAAACCCUGAUGCAGCGACGCCGCGUGAGUGAAGAAGUAUUUCGGUAUGUAAAGCUCUAUCAGCAGGGAAGAUAAUGACGGUACCUGAGUAAGAAGCCCCGGCUAACUACGUGCCAGCAGCCGCGGUAAUACGUAGGGGGCAAGCGUUAUCCGGAUUUACUGGGUGUAAAGGGAGCGUAGACGGCAUGGCAAGUCUGAAGUGAAAGCCCGGGGCUCAACCGCGGGACUGCUUUGGAAACUGUUAAGCUGGAGUGCAGGAGAGGUAAGUGGAAUUCCUAGUGUAGCGGUGAAAUGCGUAGAUAUUAGGAGGAACACCAGUGGCGAAGGCGGCUUACUGGACUGUAACUGACGUUGAGGCUCGAAAGCGUGGGGAGCAAACAGG